rnacentral:tRNA from 1 species
GAUUGCGUGGUGUAAUCGGCAGCACGUUGGGCUCAGACCCAAAAGGCCCCAGGUUCAAACCCUGCCGUGUCA